AGGUGCCGCAUGUCUCACAACCCCCCUGCAAGGUAGGGCAGCUCAUGGUGAGCAGCUUCAAGGCCAAAGGCAGCGGGGGGAUGAACCCAUGUUUCCCAUGUCCUCCUCGUCCAUUGCCCCAACUCCUGUGCCACAGGGCAAGGAUCACAGGUUGCUGGUUCAUCCCUUGGCAUCUCCAGGUAGACUUGGCAGAGACUCCUUGCCCAAAACCUGCUGCCAGUCAAACAAGACCAAGUGAGAUGCUCAGAUUUUGCCUAAGGCAGCUUCCUGGGCUCACUUGCAGCACCUGCCACGAAGCUGGGUCCUGAGGAGGGUGCUGGGCCCUUUGCUCUCCCUUGUGGGUCAUCUUUAGUAGAAGUAUUUUGCUCAGGGGCAACUGCCCCCGGCUGGAGGGUCCCCACCCCGUCCUGCUGCCACUGGUUUGCUUUGGACCCCUCUGGCUCGACAGACACCACUCCCCCUUUGGGACCCAUAAGUGUGAGUCUUGCCAGCCUUGUGCUGAAAGAGCAGCCGACGCAGCUGCCCCGUUUUAGGGAGCCGCUUGCUGCCCCCCAGCUGGGCACUGCCACAGUUGGGAGUUCUCUGUCCUUGAGUCUGGCAGCUGCGGCCACUUCCGCCUCUUCCUGCUUUUCCCACCCCCAAUUUCAUGGGGCUCCGUUUCAGGUGCUUGUGGGUUUCCGUUCCCAGGGCAGGAAUCCCCGGCAGCUGCAGAAAUAUGAACAGCCCAGCGCCCUUUGAAGCCACCGGGCUGCUCCCUCUCCCCCGCUUAGAGCGUCUGGAUUCCUGGCAUGCCUUGGAGAGGCUGGCACAGCUGGUGGGGCAGGGCGGCCUCCUGUCUAGCCCCCAGGGGCAGGCGGAGAGGGUGCCUGAGGCGUUGCCCUGUGCCCAGGGGCAUGGCAGCAGAGGGGCAGCUGGGGAGCAUGUUUUCUCCUGGGUAGGGCAGUGAUCCUGACUCACACAUCAGUCACGGAACUGCCCAAGAGGGCCGGAGCUCACAGGAACUAUUGGGUGCUCUCAGGGGACAGACUUCUCCCUGCUGCCAUCAGCUGAGACCAAGGCAUGCUGCUCUCUUGGGGAUGGUGCGCAGCUCACCUUAAUUUCUAAAUUAUUAUUCCAUGAAAUUUAUGUGCUGCAUAAAUUGUGUGGGGUUUUUUGAAAAACAGCACUCUAC